GGAUUUUUCAUUGCAUUAAUCCUCCAGAUCAGGUGGGUUUUGUCAAAGUGUUAAACUUUAAUACUUUGGGUCAUUUAUCUUUACAGAAAAACCGGGGCUCUGUCAGCGACCAGACAAGCUAUUUCCUCAUUGCGCUUUCGGAGUGAAGUGGAGCUGGAGAGGGCAGGAGCUGAUCACAGCUUAAUUAAACCCUUAUGCGCUCUGGCUAAGAGAAACUACACCUCUCCAGAGAGGAGCCCAAGUGGUUGCGGCCAGAACUGCGGUGAUUGAUUCUGCUGUAGUUCCCACGGAACAGUGUGCUCAAGUGAUAGCAUUUAUCUUCAUAAGCGCUGAUAUGCACCCGGAGUGCACUCCAAAUUAAAUCCCUCUUUAAAAAGCGCAUGGUGCUUCUCAGGGAACUACAUAAAUCGUGCCUGAUGUUGCUCCUCCGGUUACAUGCACCAUAAUCAGCUGCUGAUCAGUUAUUUCCAUUCCAGCGAGCAUUCAGCACGGCAUGGUGUCAUGAAUAGAUCUCCUCAUCUCAAAUGCAAAUUCAUAUAGAGGCCUUAUCAGAAAGGUCAAAGCAUCCUUACCAAUUUAUUUGUGAGUUAUUGUGGUGUCAUCGGUGUUGGAUCAUCAGCGCGCAUCUCUUUGAUCAUUACUCCGUGAUUUUGCAACAGCUCACGUGACGCUGCGCUCAAAUACACAGCAAACAGCGUGGCACAGUGGAGGUGCCAUGGACUGGAACACAUAUCAGCUCUGUUUUGGCUUCCGCUCAUUGGACGCUCAGACGCAGAUGUGCGUAAUUGCGCGUGUCCAUCAGUGAAGUGUGUUGGGGUGUCAACCGUUCAUUCAGGUGAGGAGAGAGAGGGUGGAGGGGUUCAGUGGAGAGGGAAUGAGAAUGUCUCUGUGUUAAAAUUGAUGUGACAUGCAAAAAUAACUCUUAUAAUUGGACAAACUGAAGAGUAUGAGUUAAUAGUACAAACGGGUUUACUGUCUGGAUGUGUGUGUGUAUGUGUCUAUAUA
ensembl:lncRNA